GACGAACGCUGGCGGCGUGCUUAACACAUGCAAGUCGAGCGGUAAGGCCCUUCGGGGUACACGAGCGGCGAACGGGUGAGUAACACGUGGGUAACCUGCCCUGUACUCUGGGAUAAGCCUGGGAAACUAGGUCUAAUACCGGAUAUGACACUUCAUCGCAUGGUGUGGUGUGGAAAGUUCCGGCGGUACAGGAUGGACCCGCGGCCUAUCAGCUUGUUGGUGGGGUAAUGGCCUACCAAGGCGACGACGGGUAGCCGGCCUGAGAGGGCGACCGGCCACACUGGGACUGAGACACGGCCCAGACUCCUACGGGAGGCAGCAGUGGGGAAUAUUGCACAAUGGGCGAAAGCCUGAUGCAGCGACGCCGCGUGAGGGAUGACGGCCUUCGGGUUGUAAACCUCUUUCAGUAGGGACGAAGCGCAAGUGACGGUACCUACAGAAGAAGCACCGGCUAACUACGUGCCAGCAGCCGCGGUAAUACGUAGGGUGCGAGCGUUGUCCGGAAUUAUUGGGCGUAAAGAGCUCGUAGGCGGUUUGUUGCGUCGGCUGUGAAAACCUACAGCUUAACUGUGGGCCUGCAGUCGAUACGGGCAGACUUGAGUUCGGCAGGGGAGACUGGAAUUCC
rnacentral:rRNA from 1 species